UAUUAUGUGAACACUUCAGUGCCCCAGGA
rnacentral:sRNA from 1 species